rnacentral:snRNA from 1 species
UGUUCUUAUCAGUUUAAUAUCUGAUACGUCCUCUAUCUGAGGACAAUAUAUUAAAUGGAUUUUUGGAACUAGGAGAUGGAAUAGGAGCUUGCUCCGUCCACUCCGCGCAUCGACCUGGUAUUGCAGUACUUCCUGGAGCGGUGC